AUAAAGAAGGUCCAGCCUGCCCGGUGACAAAGUUUAACGGCCGCGGUACCCUGACCGUGCGAAGGUAGCAUAAUCACUCGUUCUUUAAAUAGGGACUUGUAUCAACGGCAUCACGAGGGCUGUACUGUCUCCUUUCUCUAAUCAGUGAAACUGAUCUCCCCGUGAAGAAGCGGGAAUUUAGCUAUAAGACGAGAAGACCCCAUGGAGCUUUAAGCCCGGUAUAUAGCCCACGCCAUAAUCCCACUAAGCUAUAAGGCCCUAAAUACCGGCUUUAGGUUGGGGGGACCGCGGAGUAAAAUCUAACCUCCACGACUAAUGGGCUUAGCCUUUAUCCACGAACAACACUUCUAAGAAUCAACAAACUGACGUUUAAUGACCCGACAAUUCGAUCAACGAACCAAGUUACCCUGGGGAUAACAGCGCAAUCCACUUCAAGAGUCCUUAUCGACAAGUGGGUUUACGACCUCGAUGUUGGAUCAGGAUAUCCCAGUGGUGCAGUCGCUACUAAAGGUUCGUUUGUUCAACGAUUAAAACCCUACGUGAUCUAARUUUCAGACCGGA
rnacentral:rRNA from 1 species